rnacentral:rRNA from 1 species
CUCUAGUUGGCAUAGAGACCCUCCUUUUAGGAGACUUGUGCCACUAAGAUCUAGGCUGCUUGAAGAGACGUAUGGACCCUUCUUUCAGGAGACCUAUGUCUCGAGUCAAAGCAAGCAAGGCAAGCCUUUGGGGCUCUAGUACUAACUAUCCCCAAAGGUGUUUAUUCUUCUCGUGUAAACCAUGAUGUACGAAAAAAGUUAGUUGUUAACUUAAAAACAACUCUUGGCAAUGGAUCUCUUGGUUCUCGCAUCGAUGAAGAGCGUAGCAAAGUGCGAUAAUUAUUGCGACUUGCAUUCAUAGCGAAUCAUCGAGUUCUCGAACGCAUCUUGCGCCUAGUAGUCAAUCUACUAGGCACAGUUGUUUCAGUAUCUGCAACUACCAAUCAGUUCAACUUGGUUCUUUGAACCUAAGCGAGCUGGAAAUGGGCUUGUGUUGAUGGCAUUCAGUUGCUGUCAUGGCCUUAAAUACAUUUAGUCCUAGGCAAUUGGCUUUAGCCAUUUGCCGGAUGUAGACUCUAGAGUGCCUGAGGAGCAACGACUUGGUUAGUGAGUUCAUAAUUCCAAGUCAAUCAGUCUCUUCUUGAACUAGGUCUUAAUCUUUGCGGACUAGUGAGAGGAUCUAACUUGGGGUCUUCUCUUUGAACAAACUCACAUCUAGAUCUGAAAUCAACUGAGAUCACCCGCUGAACUUAAGCAUAUCAAUAAGCGGAGGAAAAGAAAAUAACCAUGAUUCCCCUAGUAACGGCGAGUGAAGAGGGAAAAGCUCAAAGUUGGAACCUGGCUGCCCUAGGCAGUCCGGAUUGUAAACUAAAGAGCGUGAUUCCAGGCAAGCCGGUUGACCAAGUCCUUUGGAAUGAGGCGCCACUGAGGGUGAGAGCCCCGUAAGUCGACUGAGC